rnacentral:rRNA from 1 species
AGAGUUUGAUCCUGGCUCAGGAUGAACGCUGGCGGCGUGCCUAACACAUGCAAGUCGAACGGAUGCUUUCGGGCAUUAGUGGCGCACGGGUGAGUAACACGUGGCUGACCUACCUCAAAGUAAGGGAUAACGUUCCGAAAGGGAUGCUAAUACCUCAUAAGCUUCCGGGAUUUAGAAACCUGGGAGAAAAGUUCCGGCGCUUUGAGAGGGGGCUGCGAGCCAUCAGCUGGUUGGUGCGGUAACGGCGUACCAAGGCGACGACGGCUAGGAGGCCUGAGAGGGUGACCUCCCACACUGGAACUGAGACACGGUCCAGACUCCUACGGGAGGCAGCAGUGAGGAAUAUUGCACAAUGGGCGCAAGCCUGAUGCAGCGACGCCGCGUGAGUGAUGAAGGCCUUCGGGUCGUAAAGCUCUUUUCUAGGUGACGAGAAUGGACGGUAGCCUAGGAAUAAGUGUCGGCUAACUACGUGCCAGCAGCCGCGGUAAAACGUAGGACACAAGCGUUAUCCGGAGUUACUGGGCGUAAAGGGCGUGUAGGCGGACAUGUAAGUCUACUCUGAAAGCUUCUGGCUAAACUGGAAGAGGCGAGUGGAGACUGCAAGUCUAGAGUGAGGAAGAGGAAAGUGGAAUUCCGCGUGUAGUGGUGAAAUGCGUAGAGAUGCGGAGGAACACCAGUGGCGAAAGCGGCUUUCUGGUCCUUAACUGACGCUGAGGCGCGAAAGCAUGGGGAGCGAACGGGAUUAGAAACCCCGGUAGUCCAUGCCGUAAACGAUGUUCACUAAACGUUCGUUUCCCGCGAGGGAAGCGGGUGUUGAAGCUAACGCAGUAAGUGAACCGCCUGGGGAGUACGGUCGCAAGGCUAAAACUCAAAGGAAUUGACGGGGGACCGCACAAGCAGCGGAGCGUGUGGUUUAAUUCGAGGCUACACGAAGAACCUUACCUAGGUUUUGACAUCGCACUGAAGACUGUGUGAAAGCAUGGUUGUCCCGCAAGGGACAGUGUGACAGGUGCUGCAUGGCUGUCGUCAGCUCGUGCCGUGAGGUGUUCGGUUAAGUCCGCAAACGAGCGCAACCCUCGGUGCCAGUUACAAGUGUCUGGCGCGACUGCCCGUGGCAAACGGGAGGAAGGUGGGGAUGACGUCAAGUCAGCAUGGCCUUUAUAUCUAGGGCUACACACACGCUACAAUGGCGCGUACAAUGGGUCGCGAACCUGCGAAGGGGAGCCAAUCCUAAAAAGCGCGUCUCAGUUCAGAUUGCAGGCUGCAACCCGCCUGCAUGAAGUUGGAGUUGCUAGUAACCGCGCGUCAGCAGAGUGCGGUGAAUACGUUCCCGGUCCUUGUACACACCGCCCGUCACGUCAUGAGAGCUGGUGACGCCUGAAGUCGGGAAGCUAACCGCAAGGGGGCUACUGCCGAGGGCAGCACUGGUGAUUGGGACGAAGUCGUAACAAGGUA